rnacentral:ncRNA from 2 species
AGCGGGGCACGCGACUGGCGAUAGGCGCGGCGACCUUUUCAGGGCGCCGCCGCUGACGUGGAAUCCGGCAGGAGGCACCUCCUGUGACCACUGGGAAGCGUGCCGCACCGAUCUCGUCGCCGUGCGUUCCGCCGUUCGCCUGGGCAGCCCUU